AUUGAACGCUGGCGGCAUGCCUUACACAUGCAAGUCGAACGGUAACGGGCCUUCGGGUGCCGACGAGCGUUGAACGGGUACGUAAUACAUCCGCAUGUGCACGCUCGUUGUGGAUCACGAGGCAAAACCUUUGCUCGUCCCUCAUACGAUCUACGGUUGAGAGCAUGGGACCGCAAUGCCUUACGCGGACGUUGCGGCCGCUGGCAGAUUAGGUAGUUGGUGGUUUAAAAGCUUACCAAGCCAACGCUUUGUAGCUGGUCUGAGAGGAUGAUCCGCCACACUGGUACUUAGACACGGGCCAGACUUCGAAGGGAGGGAGCAGUCGGGAAUCAUGGUCAAUGGGCGCAAGAUGGAUUAAGCAAGGAAGCGUGAAGGAUGAAGGCCUUCGGGUUGUAAACUGCUUUUGUACGGAACGAAAGGCCUUCUUUUAAUACAGGAGGGUCAUGACGGUACCGUAAGAAUAAGCACCGGCUAACUACGUG
rnacentral:rRNA from 1 species